rnacentral:rRNA from 1 species
GCCAGCUGCCGUGUCGCCCCAAAACCCCCAGCUGGCCGCCCACUGGAGCUCAGCAGGUGUGAGCCUGGCCAGUACCUGGAUGGGAGACCUCCUGGGAAAGCUAGGGUUGCUGCUAGAA